rnacentral:rRNA from 1 species
GACGAACGCUGGCGGUGUGCUUAACACAUGCCAGUCGAACGGUAAGGCCCUUUCGUGGGUACACGAGUGGCGACCGGGGGAGUAACACGAGAGUAACCUGCCCCCAUCUCUGGGAUAACAGUCGCAAACGGUUGCUAAUACUGGAUACGAGUUUGCAAGGCAUCCUGUGGGUUGGAAAGAUUUUUUUUGUUUUGGGAUGGACUCGCGGCCUAUCCGCUUGUUGGUGAGGUAGUGGCUCACCAACGCUUUGACGGGUAGCCGGCCUGAGAGAGCGACCGGCCACAUUGGGACUGAGAUACGGGCCAAACUCCGACGGGAGGCAGCAGGGGGGAAUAUUGCACGAUGGACGGAAGUCUGAUGCAGGAACGCCGCGUGCGGGAUGAAGGCCGUCGGGUUGUAAACAGCUAUCAAUUAGGACGAAGCUUUUUUGUGACGGUAGCAGUAGAAGAAGCACCGGCUAACUACGUG